GGCAGGAUGAUGCUUAAGUUUCUAAGACCAAAAACCAAUAAGAUGAACUUGAGCAAGAUCCCAAACAGUUGUGCUCCAUAGAUGAUGGAUUUAAAAGUUAAAGAGACGUCAGAUCCAUAAAUACUUUAACAUAGCUAACUAGAAGAAAAAUUAAAUAUAAGCACAAGUACCAUGGAAGCCGCCCAACCAAUCCAUUUGAAUUUUUUAUUUAGCAUGACAAGAAAAUGGUUCAAUAAUUUCCAAGUCCAUAGGGAGAUUGCAACAUAGUUUACUUCUUCAAUAAAAUGUCAGUUUGAUUCAGCAUCACCCCACAAUUGUAAACAUUUCCUCCCAUUUGUAUCAAAUCAUACAAAUCUUUCUAGACUCCCCAUUGGAGAAUGCUAUGCACAACGAAUAAACUGAUAGAACAAAUAUGAACCUGCACAAAAACAAUUCCUUUUUUCCUUUCUUUCUCUUAUCUUCCUUUACACACACACACACACAC
rnacentral:misc_RNA from 1 species